ensembl:lncRNA
CUUUCUUCUGACUGCUCUUGAAGAGAGAGAGCAGGACCCUGCAGUUUGAGAGAGAAGGGCCUCACAGCAAGAAAGGGGAAAGCAGCUUCACAAAGUAGAAACAAGGGGCAAAUAGAGAUAGUUUAGGUAGAGAGUGUUAGAAAACAAGGGGUUCCAAGCACUUUCACAGACACUGGGUCUGGAAUAGCAAGGAGGAUGAAGGCCAUAGAGAUAAGGGCUGGAGAGCAGCUCGAAAAAACAUUUGGCAGGGAGGUGAUUAGUUGUCUACAGGGCAAGUUGAAACUGGUUUGGGGGAUGCCCCCCCUUCAGGGUCAGAAGUUUGCAGCGAGGAAGACUACGAGCCUUUGUGAGGAAGACUGCAAGCCUUCAUCAUCACGACCUACUACGCCCGCGCAAGGGGGGGAGGGACUGCAUGCUAAUGGGCUCUCGGGAAUGUAAUGAAGAUGUAUCUGAAUUCCUGUCACCUACUGAUUAUGUAUUAGUUUGACCUAUAACUAUAGCACCAUUUCUCCUGGCGGGGUGCAAGUUAGGUGGAACGAUCCCCCUUGCACCAGGGUGUACGCGCGUCACCAAUAAACACAUAGAUGCUCCAUAUCCUUACUGGCUAUAGGGUCUGAUUUCCGCACGUCAGUCUGUCACAUAGGUCUGGGUAGGAACUUACUGGCAUUGGCGGGGCCCUUUCUUGCCACUCCUCUGCUAUUAUCGAUUAAAUCUAUCAAGAAAUCAUAAUGGCUGUUCUCUGUAAAACCAACACGUAACCUUGUUCCUUCUGCAAGCAACCAAGCCCAACACACGCUGGUAGUGUUGGUAGCUUCUACACUGGUAGAAGGGAAGAUAAAUCCCUUCAACGUGCUGAACUGCUGUGUAGAAUGAGCUCUGUUUUAAUCUCGUUCCUCUACGAUGCUCAGCUUUCCUAGCUUCUCCCCUGCCUAAGCACACACUUCUGUCCCUUGGCAUUAACCAUCAUGCACAGCGGGAUCAAAUCUGAGCUCUGUCUCCUCCUGCUUCUUUCCAGAAGGAUGAGACAAACAGCAGAAAACAACCAGCCUCCACAGCUAACUCGUUUGGGGUUGCUCCGGACGUGUGGAUGUUCCCUUCCAUGGCCCAGGCCAAGCUCGCUGAGCUGCUCCUCCUUUGUGCAGGGGAAGACCGGUGCAGGUGCAAUGCGCUGGCUAUGCACAGCAUGCCUUUUCCUUGCUUUUCCUCUCCCCGUCUUCCACGAGCAAACAGCAUCUCAACUCUUUCCUUGCUCAGAAACCACUGAGGUAAAAAAGAACUGGCAAGCUUGCUUUCAGAAUUACCUUCUCUGUACGACCUGCUGCUUUAAAGCACCAGCUCUCCUAGCAGAUCGGAACCUCUCUGCAAACCUUGGCUGCCCGUUCCCACCACCGUUUCUCCCUUUCUCUCUUCAGAAGUGGCGCGGUGCGGUUCCCCGCGGUUGGGAGCAGCAGCCAGCAGGCUGCCAGAGAUCCAACCGCGCCUUGCAGCGCACAGAGGGACGCAACAGGGACGGACGGUCCUUCCUGCCAUACAGAAGUGAGUUUCUUCAGCCCUCUGUCGCAAAGUGUGGAGGAAUGAAUUUUGAGUAUUCCUUCUGAGCGGGUGCAGUGCUGUAGGGGAUGUCAAGUAAGCAUCCAUUUGGAGUGCAGGAAGGAGCAGUGCAAAGUGAACUAUCAAUCCGUUUGUGUUUGGGCUGUCAAAGUAGCAUCUUUCUGUUUCCUGGGGGGACGUGGGCUUACUGCAUGAUAUUUCUGCUGCUGCCUGCUGGUGCCUGUGAAAUCAACGUUGUUGAUUUUUUACAAUGUUUCUGUAGGGAUGGAUCCUGCGCGUCCAUGGAGUGGUGCUGGGCAAGGGGGGAAACGGAAAGCCUCCGCAGGUAAGAAGCUCAUGUGAGCUGUGCUAUGGGUAUGCGCCUCUAAAUAGGGCUGCAUGAAGGGCAGUGUGUGCGAUGGAGGGGAGAGGAAAGGGCACUGCACAUCCGUGCUGGGAACCCAACGUUCACCCAAGAUCCUAAGAUCCCUUACCGUGAGCACUCGAGACAUCCUAGCAUGAUGGCCCAUUCUGCAGACCGCAAGGACUGCAAGGACUCUCUUUCAAUGUUGUUGCUUCUCCUUUCCCGAUUAUCACAGAGAGAGGUGCCGAGCCCAACGGAAAGAUCUACGCAAAAGCGGUGCAGGAAGUCCUUCUGGAGAGAGCUCAUCUCCAGGCUGGAGGGCUUCCUACAACAGCAGGUCCCAACACAGGGGGAAGACCUUCCCCUGCCGUGUGCCCCCGCUCUGUCUCCAAGUCCUUGGCUGGAUGUAAACGCAAAGGCUUGGAAGAAGCGAAGCCAACAGCAGCGCAGCUGCCUGCUAACAAAAGAGUGAGGGGGCCGAGCGGAGACAGCGUGCCAGCUCCAGCAGCACACCCUGGGCCUGCUGCAGCGCGGAGCUCCAAGCUAAGAGGUGAGAAGGUGCUGUGGGACCCACCCUGGUGAGCUGCUGCCCUUUUCAAGCACACUGAGUUUGCUCAGGGUUCGCUUUGCUUUUUCCUUCUCUGUGGAGGGGACAAGAGUGGAAGGCUACAAAGUCCAAAGGCAGUGAGGUGCCAGAACACGUAACCCCGUCUCCUUCCAUUAACUCCAUGGUGGUCUUCUGCACAUCCCCCUGGAAAUGUCAUUCACUGGGA